rnacentral:rRNA from 1 species
CACGUAGGGGGCGAGCGUUGUCCGGAUUUAUUGGGCGUAAAGAGCUCGUAGGCGGCUUGGUAAGUCGGGUGUGAAACCUCCAGGCUCAACCUGGAGACGCCACCCGAUACUGCUAUGGCUAGAGUCCGGUAGGGGAGCGUGGAAUUCCUGGUGUAGCGGUGAAAUGCGCAGAUAUCAGGAGGAACACCGGUGGCGAAGGCGGGUCUCUGGGCCGAUACUGACGCUGAGGAGCGAAAGCGUGGGGAGCGAACAGG